GGAGGCGUUAGGGUUCCUGGUGGUCCCCGCGGUCUUCAAAACCGACGAGACCAAGUAGCUUGGUCUGGCGGGUUCGAUUCCCGUCCGCCUCCGCCA
rnacentral:tRNA from 3 species